rnacentral:misc_RNA from 1 species
UUAUUAUUAUUAUUUUUAUUAAAAUGUCUAUGUCUCAUUUUAACAAUAGGUAUAAUGGUUAUUAUUAUAUACACUACAGCUGUAAUUUUAAACAUAAUGUGAACAUUUUUUUUUAUUUUUUUAUUUUUAUUUGACCCCAACCUAAAGCCAACACUUAAAGAAAAAAUGGUUUAUUUAAUACAUACAAAGAAUAAAAAAAAUAUCAAAAGAAGAAACUCAUAAUUGUUUUAACAGCUCCUAAUAGAUACCGGACUGUUUGUAUUUCGUGUGACAGAGAUAACGCUCUACGAAGCCGAAAUUAGCCGAUUGUCUCUUUCCAAAGGUCGAUGUGCAAUAUUUAUUGCCGGGUACUUUACAUUAUGAUUUCAUUUCAGAGAUGAAUUUUACCAUUCCUACCCUAUUCAUACAUACUAUUAGAAAAUCGAGCAAGCAAAUUCCAUAGUCGAGAUAGAAAAAAAGAAAAAUAUUUAUCCUUUUUCUCUAAUAACUUAAACUCAACAUACAACCAACUCGUAGAAUUUACAAUCUAACAAUUAUUAGAGGCAUUUUAUAUAGUACAAUAAGAGACUUUAUCAAUUCUUGAUACAGCAACGGGGGGACAAAGUAAAUAAAAGUGAAAAACUUAUAGCAUUUAAAACAAGAGUGAAGCAUCCAAUGUCUCAAUGUGCUCUAAACUAACACUUGCCAACAAAGCAAUUGAUACUCAUUUUUAAAUAAUUUUUUCACAGUUUUUAAUAAUAAAAUUGAUAUACCCAAUUUAAAGAUCUAAUAGGAUUCACUUAUUGUAUUGUAAUUAUAAUCAGUAAUUCAAGUAAUUUUAAACAUAAAUUGUUGUUUUCUUUUUGGUUAAUAUAGUCUAUUCUCAAAGACAACUUUGUUUGUUUUGGAUAACUUCUUCUUUUUCUUGUUUUACUUUGGCUCCCUGAAGGAUUUGCCAAUAUCUAAGUGAAGCUAUUCACAGACUCUUCUAAACUUACUGAACAGAUAUGUAUAGGAUCAGCUGUCUAGAUUCCGAGAGUUAAUGUAAUUCUGAACUGCAAAAUGCCUCCUGCCUCCUAAGUUUUUACCGGAGAAGCUGUGGCUAUCUUAGAGGCUCUUUCGCUUAUUGAGUCACACCAAUUAAACAACUCCGUUAUAUGC